GACAGAGGGUGCAAACGUUGCUCGGAAUCACUGGGCGUAAAGGGCGUGUAGGCGGGAAGGAAAGUCAGAUGUGAAAUCCCUGGGCUCAACCCAGGAACUGCAUUUGAAACUCCCUUUCUUGAGUACCGGAGAGGAAAGUGGAAUUCCUGGUGUAGAGGUGAAAUUCGUAGAUAUCAGGAGGAACACCAGUGGCGAAGGCGGCUUUCUGGACGGUAACUGACGCUGAGACGCGAAAGCGUGGGGAGCGAUCCGG
rnacentral:rRNA from 1 species